GUACAGGUGAUGGCAUAAACUAAGUUGGGGGUGUCUAAAUUAAGGGGGCUGUUGGGGGCUGAAAGGUGACUAUGAAUGUUGGUGAUGAAGUGAUGGGGUCUGAAAUAAAUAUUUUCUUUGGGAGUGGGGGGCUUGAGAUGACGAGUGAAGGUGGUUCUGAUAAGUAGGUCCUUGAGGUUUUUAUUGCGUUUAUAUGCGGAAAUGAUUGUGGUGUUCUGAAAUGUAGGGAGUGUUGUUUGCAGUGUAGUGAAGUUGUGUUUCAGUCUGUGGUGUAGAUGUUGUGUACCUUGUGAGAAAGUGGUGAUGAGGGGUAGGAUGUAUGUUUCUGUAGGGGGGGUUAAGGUUAGGGUUAGGAAUGAGGUCUGAUAUAGGGUGUGAUGGCACGGCUGGGCUAGGGUAAAGAUCUGGGAUGGGGUUAGAGACAGGGUUAGGGUUAGGAAUGGGGUUUGGGUUAGGGUUAGGAUUUGGGUAUGGGUUAAGGUUAGGUUUAGGAAUGGGGUUAGGGUGGUGGUUAGGGUUAGGAUUGGAAUUGGGGUUAGAGCUGGGACUAGCG
ensembl:lncRNA